rnacentral:rRNA from 1 species
AUCGAACGCUGGCGGCAGGCCUAAUACAUGCAAGUCGAACGAGGGGCGGAAGGGUGAGCACAGUCUGGGAAAGUGUACGAAGGAGGGGGAUAACUACUGGAAAAGGUAGAUAAAACCGCAUACCACAGACUGUGAACAGAUGGGAUUAUCUAGUAGGUGGGGAAACGGCCCACCGAGGAGACGAGCCCAAGCUGGUCUGAGAGGCGGACCAGCCACACUGGAACUGAGACACGGUCCUGACUCCUACGGGAGGCAGCAGUGGGGAAUAUUGCACAAUGGGCGCAAGCCUGAUGCAGCCAUGCCGCGUGUAUGAAGAAGGCCUUCGGGUUGUAAAGUACUUUCAGCGAGGAGGCGUUACUCACAGAAGAAGCACCGGCUAACUCCGUGCCAGCCGCCGCGGUAAUUC